rnacentral:tRNA from 1 species
AGAAAAUCAGGAUUCGAACCUGCACUUAACAACCCAAAAUUAUUUGUACUUCAUUGUACUAUUUUCUA